GUAGGGGGCAAGCGUUGUUCGGAAUUACUGGGCGUAAAGGGCGCGUAGGCGGCACGGCAAGUCGGGAGUGAAAGCCCGGGGCUCAACCCCGGAACGUCUUUCGAAACUGCCGAGCUAGAGUGCGGAAGGGGCAACUGGAAUUCCCAGUGUAGCGGUGAAAUGCGUAGAUAUUGGGAAGAACACCUGAGGCGAAGGCGGGUUGCUGGGCCGACACUGACGCUGAGGCGCGAAAGCCAGGGGAGCGAACGGGAUUAGAUACCCCGGUAGUCCUGGCCCUAAACGAUGGAUACUUGGUGUGUGGGGUUUCUCAAGUCCCCGCGUGCCGGAGCUAACGCGUUAAGUAUCCCGCCUGGGGAGUACGGUCGCAAGGCUG
rnacentral:rRNA from 1 species